CCCUUAGAUGUUCUGGGCAGCACGCGCGCUACAAUGGUCUUCGCAAACGGAUGCAUUCUCGAAGGAGAAUGCCAAUCUUGGAAUCUAUGCCUUGGUCGGGACAGUUGCUUGCAAUUUUUCGACUCGAACCAGGAAUUCCUUGUAAUCGUGAUUCAUCACAUCACGAUGAAUACGUCCCUGCCCUUUGUACACACCGCCCGUCGCUCCUACCGAUCGAAGAGUUAGGUGAAUUGUUUUGAUCGAUAAGAUUUGACUAUGGUCAACUCUCGUUGUGAAAUUCUGCGAAUCUGACUGUUUAGAGGAAGGAAAAGUCGUAACA
rnacentral:rRNA from 1 species